rnacentral:lncRNA from 1 species
AUCAGUUUCAAAAUAAAGUUGAUCAUAAGUAUACUGAAUUGUUCAUGACUUACAAUCAGCUUAAAGCGUAAGAUAUCUGGCACAGUUUCACAAAUUUUGUUAAAGUUAAGAAAAUGUGUUUUCAUUUCAGUGUUUACGCAUUGUUUAAUAAUGUUUGUUUAAUGAAAUUAAGAAAAAUAUAUUAUCCCAUGCAAACUAAAAAAAAUGUCUAAUCCUAGAUGCAUUCUUGUUCUAUUUUGACAUUGUUAAGAAUUAUAUGAAACUUAUAAGAAAUAAUUGCUUCAAAUGUAGGUAAAUCAGAAGUUAAUUUUGAUAUAUGUCAAACUGUGUAAUAUUUGUAGCUGUUUCGGAUAUCUGUAUGUUUAAUAUACAGUACAUAGCUAAUAUACAUGUAUAUAAGGACGCCUCCGGUGCGGGAAUUUCUCGCUACAUUGAAGACCUGUUGGUGACCUUCUGCUGUUGUUUUUUCUAUGGUCAGGUUGUUGUCUCUUUGACACAUUCCCCAUUUCCAUUCUCAAUUUUAUAGUAUAUAUGGUUUAAUAUACGGUACAUAGCUGAUAUAUAUGUAUAGUAUACAUAGUUUAAUAUAUAUAUAUAGCUGACGUUCACUUUGAAUUUCAGAUUUUUUUUAUUAAAAGCUUUUUAAGGCUUCUAAUGAAAAAUAAGAAAAAUAAUUCUACUUUUAAAGAAGAACAAAGUGUGAAAUGAUUGUAAGCUCAUAUGAAGUAACCGAAUAAGGACAUCAUGUUUAAUUUAUGAAUCUACCGGCAACAUUUGUAUUAAUUAUGUUUAAUGAUUAAAUAGAUAAAUAUAGAUGUCCUGAAUAUAUUGUACAUUACGUAGUAUUUGCCUUCAGAUAAUACGCAAUUGCCAGAUAAAGACAUCUUGCACCUUAAAUGAGAGGGCAACAAUGUUGUUUUUUUUUUAAAUAAUAUGAACUUCCGAAUUGAGAUGCUAAAAUAGAUCCUACAUAUUUGUAGUUAACCACAAGAAAGUUGAUAUAGGAAUAGAAUAUAAAAUAUCAAUGAUUGAUGAUAUACCGAGAUUGUGGGCUGUACAUGAAAACACGAUAAAACCCUCAUUAUUUACUUUUUAUAUACCUGUAAAUUGUCAACAUUGGUGACAGUGUUUUUACUAGGCAAAAAGCGUGUUUAUUCUGGGGACAAACUGUUUAUAUUUGUAGUAUGCCUUUUAGGUGUAAAGAUGUGUCAAUAUUUAGAAAAGGUCUAGUGUCAUACUAUAGAAAAUUCAUGGUGGUUUUUUAUAUCAAUAUAAUUACUUUUUUUUUUAUAUAUUUGUCAUGUUUUAAAGUUAGUUGUGUAAGAUGUGGUUUAUAUGAAUUGUCAAAGGUAGCAUUAAGUACAUAUUGUACAAGUACUUGUAUGCUUCUAAAUGAAUUUUAAUGGCGAAGUUCAUGAAAAUGUUACGGAUGUUUGAGGAAAAUUAGGAUUAAACUGUAUGGCAAUGACUUUGUCAGUUUUGUAGUUGUUGCAUAAACUAAAACUGUGAUUUAAACGUCACCAUGUAAUGCUUAUAUUUUAAGGUUCAUAUGAUGUAAUUCCUCCUUGUAGAUUUGAUAUUAUCCCUAGUAUUUUAAAUAACACCAUAGGAAAUUGAGCACUUGCACUAAAAUUAUAGCAACACCCACCAUCAUAAUACAUUCUAUAUACUUCUGUUCAUGGAGGUUGGAACAAUGAACACAUUGAAAAGUUUUUUUUACACCCUGUUUAAAAGUAGCAUUGAAAGUUGAUUAUCUUAUUAAAGAUCAACACAGCUACUUGUUAACUCAAUUGAAUGACUAGAGUAAGUCAUGAUUUUGUUUUUGUUUUAGUAUUACUGCCACAUGUUGCAUCUGUUCCUAUGAAAUCAAGGCAGAUAGAAUAUCUAUUUCUGUCAAUUUGUGUAAUGGAUAUUUUGAUGUUAAGCUAGCAUCAAUCGAUCAAUCAAUCACUCACUGGCAUGUUUUUAUUUACAUUAAAUCAUAACUUUAUUUUAGAAUGUUAGUUUGUCCAUACAAAGCAAAGCAAAAUUUGUCUGGGAAGAUGGAAAUUUGUAAGAGCCUGUUUUUCAACUUUUUGGAAGAAUUUGAAAAUUUUAUUAACAAUUGCUUUUAUUCUAUUUACAGCAAAGUUCAGUUUAUUGGAAAAAGAUGAAAAACAUAGUAAUUUGGUCACCAUUUAUACAACAGUUCAAGAAACAUCGAUAUCCAUGGAUACAAUUAGCUGGUCACCAAGGUAACAGUUUGUUUAGAAUAAGACUAAGCCUAACAGCAACAAGAGGAUACUUUUGUCAAGGGGACUUCACCCACUUACCUUAUUUUGUCUGAAUUUUUCAUAACCUGCUUUAUUAACUGAUUAUUUAAUUUGAGGUCUUGAAUAUUCAUCUUAUAUUUGCUACUAGGUGUUAACAAUCAAUUCAUUUUAUAAGUUUGACAAAAAUUGAAAAGGACAGAUUAGAGUAAAUAACCAACCAAAACAUUGACAAUCAUCACAUUCAAUGUAAUUGGAAUAUGAGAUGAAGGGCAUCAAGGGGACAUUACUCAGUUCUAAAAUAAAAACCUACAUGGUAGAUGUAGGCUACAGCAUGGCAAGUUUUUUUAUGACUGAGUCCUAACAAAUAGUAAAUAGAUUCAUUGGAAGUGACUUCAAGGUAAAAUUCUUAAUUGGCCAAAAC